rnacentral:rRNA from 1 species
CAGUCGCCGCGGGAAUACGUAGGUGGCAAGCGUUGUCCGGAAUUAUUGGGCGUAAAGGGCUCGCAGGCGGUUUCUUAAGUCUGAUGUGAAAGCCCCCGGCUCAACCGGGGAGGGUCAUUGGAAACUGGGAAACUUGAGUGCAGAAGAGGAGAGUGGAAUUCCACGUGUAGCGGUGAAAUGCGUAGAGAUGUGGAGGAACACCAGUGGCGAAGGCGACUCUCUGGUCUGUAACUGACGCUGAGGAGCGAAAGCGUGGGGAGCAAACAGGAUUAGAUACCCCAGUAGUCCCUGUCUCUUAUAC